UAACAGAGGGACACUUGGAAUGAAUGGAA
rnacentral:piRNA from 1 species